rnacentral:tRNA from 5 species
UCUAAUAUGGCAGAUUAGUGCAUUGGA